AAUCGUAAUCAAAAUCAUAAAAAGCGAUGAGAUGGAAAAAGCGUUAGGGAAAAUGUUGAUGGAACCGUUUUAAUUGCUCUCCCAGUUCGCUGAGGAAACUCAAAAGAAAAAGAAAAGAACAGAGCAGAGAAUAGAAUAAAAAUAAAGAAAGAGCAGACGACAGCAAUUAUCAAUUGUGUUCCUCUCGGAUGCCAUAAAUUCUUCAAUAUAAUAAAAUGUGGGCUUUGAUAAUUCCCUUCAGUAUGAUGGCGAUGAUACGAGACCCAAAUGCAAGUGGGAGGCGGCUCAGAAGAUGUCUAAAGGAAGAGGAAACUUCUCCUGGCGAAACUCUAUAGCCGCAAUCCACGUAACACUCGUCGUAUUCCUCUGCCGCUCCGCUCGCUUACAUAAAUGAAUAACAAAUUUAAAACAAAUAUAUUUCUGUUCGAAUCUGCACGACCCAUCAUUAA